rnacentral:lncRNA from 1 species
AACUAUCGUAAAUGGUAUGCAAAUACCCUCUGUCAUACUUUUGUCGACAUUGGUGCCCCUGCCGUCCAAAAACUAGAGCAUAUAUACCCUUUAUACUAACGGACAUACACGUGUCAUAAUCUUAUCCACUGAUCCGACAUUUAUCGACGGAUAAGAUUGCGCCACGUGUCCCUAUUUAGUCUUCCAUUAGAGUGAAGGGCAUAUAUGCUCUAGUUUU